rnacentral:lncRNA from 1 species
AUUGUUAAGCCUAAGCAAAGCUCUGUGGGUGUUACCAGUGAGGAAUUAGAAAAUUCUGAUGAAGAAACCAAGCUAGUUUAUAAUUCUGAAGAAGAAACUAAGAGAGCUAAUGAUUUUGAAGAAGAAACUAAGAGAGCUAAUGAUUUGGAAGAAGAAACUAAUUUGGAAGAAGAAACUAAGAGAGCUAAUGAUUUUGAAGAAGAAAUGGAGCUGGUUGAUGAAAAAGAUGAAUCCAAAAGCAAAGUAACUCAGAAGAAGGAGAAGAUAAUGGCAGAACCACCCCCUAAACCACCAAAGAUGGUCCGUAUGGCUAAUCUUGC